UCAUUUGUUUAACCCAUUUAUUUUCGCUCAAAAUAACCCCCUUUCCUAUCAACAUUUGUGGUGUUGUCACCCCUUUAAAUUAUCAGAAGGGGUUGUUGUUUUGCUUUUCAUUUGUUACCCUUCAUUGUUGUCUUUUUGUGCACUUUUUCCUAAUUAAAUAAACCCCUUUAUUUUGUUAAAUAGUACCAUUCAAUUUCAUCUAGGAAAAGGAAAGCAUAAGUGUCA
rnacentral:lncRNA from 1 species